CAGGCCCUGAGGUAUGCACAUUCACACGCUGUCCCACAAAAGUCCUGAGAGGCAUGUGUUAUUACUUCCCUUUUACAGAUGAAGUGACAAGUGAGCCAGAUUUUGGAUGAUCCAAGGAAGUUAUGGGUGGCGGAGGAGAUCCAGGAGAGGUUAAUGGAAGAUGUGGGACUGAAUUGAGUCUUGCUAGUCAAAGAUAAUUUGGCUGAAGAAGAGGAUGGCAUUCUGGCAAGAAUAAAGAUGAGGAGAAGGAAUGCGCACCACAUAAUUUGGAACAGAGUCCAGACUGACCUGAAUGGAAAGCAAGCUGCAGAUAGGAAGACUGUGUGCACAUAGAUAAUUGGACAAGAUCCUCAUUUUGCAGAUGAUGCCGUGAGAGUAUGAAGGAGCGGUAUUAAAUCCAGCAGGAAACCUCAGUAAAGGUGGUUUUAGAACAUAGUCUGGAAGAAUAGGAGUUGGCCAGGCAAAGAAGAGAGUGAAGGGUAUAUAAAGACGUCUCAGAUAAAUGGAACAGCAUGAACAAAGGCAUGGAAGCGUGAAACAACAUGGAUUAUUCUGGAAAUCACAAACAUAGGAUAAAUGUGAGCUGACAAUUGAGGUGAUUUGCCUGCUGUCAAACAGGUGGCAAGGCAGAGGUGGUCU
rnacentral:lncRNA from 1 species